GACGAACCGUCCUAACGUUGUUCGGAAUCACUGGGCUUAAAGGGCGCGUAGGCGGCCUUGAAAGUCGGGGGUGAAAUCCCACGGCCUAACCGUGGAAGUGCCUCCGAUACUGCAAGGCUCGAGGGAGGUAGGGGCAGCGGGAACUUCCGGUGGAGCGGUGAAAUGCGUUGAUAUCGGAAGGAACGCCGGUGGCGAAAGCGCGCUGCUGGACCUCUGCUGACGCUGAGGCGCGAAAGCCAGGGGAGCAAAC
rnacentral:rRNA from 1 species